AUAAGGUGUUCAAGGACCCUGAGUCCCUGACAAUCGACAAAUUUUCUUGAGUGCGUGCAGUGAUGAUAGAGAGGUUGUAUUGAUGUGGUUGAGGGAUGAGAUGACUAAGCAGGUCUCUAUGGAGCUGAAGUGUUAUGUAUUGGCAACGUGACUGGUACUUGACAAUACUCUAGAUUAACCGAACAACAGUUUGAGCCAGGGAUUAUAGCCAAAAGGGAUUAUACCCCCAAGGGGUUCAAGUGACAAAGAGGGGAUUAACUCAAUCCCUC